rnacentral:rRNA from 1 species
GACGAACGCUGGCGGCGUGCUUAACACAUGCAAGUCGAACGGAAAGGCCCUGCUUUUGUGGGGUGCUCGAGUGGCGAACGGGUGAGUAACACGUGAGUAACCUGCCCUUCACUUUGGGAUAACUUCAGGAAACUGGGGCUAAUACCGUAUAGGAGCUCCUGCUGCAUGGUGGGGGUUGGAAAGUUUCGGCGGUUGGGGAUGGACUCGCGGCUUAUCAGCUUGUUGGUGGGGUAGUGGCUUACCAAGGCUUUGACGGGUAGCCGGCCUGAGAGGGUGACCGGCCACAUUGGGACUGAGAUACGGACCAGACUCCUACGGGAGGCAGCAGUGGGGAAUAUUGCACAAUGGGCGGACGCCUGAUGAAGCAACGCCGCGUGCGGGAUGACGGCCUUCGGGUUGUAAACCGCUUUCGCCUGUGACGAAGCGUGAGUGACGGUAAUGGGUAAAGAAGCACCGGCUAACUACGUG